rnacentral:rRNA from 1 species
CCUACGGGAGGCAGCAGUGGGGAAUAUUGCACAAUGGGCGCAAGCCUGAUGCAGCGACGCCGCGUGAGGGAUGGAGGCCUUCGGGUUGUAAACCUCUUUCGCCAGUGAAGCAGGCCUGCUCCUUGUGGGUGGGUUGACGGUAGCUGGAUAAGAAGCGCCGGCUAACUACGUGCCAGCAGCCGCGGUAAUACGUAGGGCGCGGGCGUUGUCCGGAAUUAUUGGGCGUAAAGAGCUCGUAGGCGGCUGGUCGCGUCUGUCGUGAAAUCCUCUGGCUUAACUGGGGGCUUGCGGUGGGUACGGGCCGGCUUGAGUGCGGUAGGGGAGACUGGAACUCCUGGUGUAGCGGUGGAAUGCGCAGAUAUCAGGAAGAACACCGGUGGCGAAGGCGGGUCUCUGGGCCGUUACUGACGCUGAGGAGCGAAAGCGUGGGGAGCGAACAGGAUUAGAUACCCUAGUAGUC